UAAUACCGCAUAAGACCACAACGUCACAUGGCGAAGGGGUCAAAGGAGCAAUCCGGUGAAGGGUGGGCUCGCGUCCGAUUAGAUAGUUGGUGAGGUAACGGCCCACCAAGUCGACGAUCGGUAGCCGACCUGAGAGGGUGAUCGGCCACAUUGGGACUGAGACACGGCCCAGACUCCUACGGGAGGCAGCAGUGGGGAAUAUUGGGCAAUGGGGGAAACCCUGACCCAGCAACGCCGCGUGGAGGAAGAAGGUCUUCGGAUCGUAAACUCCUGUCCUAAGAGACGAGCAGGAGACGGUAUCUUAGGAGGAAGCCCCGGCUAACUACGUGCCAGCAGCCGCGGUAAUACGUAGGGGGCAAGCGUUGUCCGGAAUGAUUGGGCGUAAAGGGCGCGUAGGCGGCCUUUCAAGUCUGAAGUGAAAUUCCCGUUUUUAAGAUGGGAACUGCUUUGGAAACUGUAAGGCUUGAGUGCAGGAGAGGUCAGUGGAAUUCCCAGUGUAGCGGUGAAAUGCGUAGAGAUUGGGAGGAACACCAGUGGCGAAGGCGACUGACUGGACUGUAACUGACGCUGAGGCGCGAAA
rnacentral:rRNA from 1 species